ACACGCUCAUCCCUUCUGCUUAUAUCACAUAGUCAUCAUUCAACAAUAAUUUUACAAGACGACAUUCAACUCUUCGGUCUGACCCAUGAUGUACUUUCUCAAUAGCUCUUUUAUCAAGAUGUUAGGAUGAUCGAACACACAAGACGACCGAAAAAUCGAAGGCAUAGAAGCAACUCUACCAAAUUGUAUCCAAUAUACGCCCGCGACGCCCAAACGCCAUAAAGAAACGUCCAACAAACUGAAGACACGGCAUCAACACCAUCAACCUCAGGUAAUAUCCACAUGCAAUGCUUCACGUGUGUCAGCAUUUGAUCUCAGCUCAACCUUGCUUCUAAUCUUCUAUGUCAAAACUCUUCUAACCAUGUUUUUCCAUGCAUACAUACACUGCCAUGACAGUAGUGUGAAAGCUACAAAAAGAGCAACACUAUUGAACACAUAUUAAUUUAUAGUGCCAUACCAGAUAAACAAUAUUGAUCUCCAGAUGUUCUGUAUGUGACACCCCCAUUAUAGUCUCUAUAUCUCCAAAUGCACUUACAUGUCUGCAGUGGCAAAACAUUAUUAAGAAAACUCUAUAUGUCACUAACAAAAUAAUUUUUUUAGAGAUGACAGUCCAACAUACGUCAGCGCUAACAGCUCACCACACAAAAAGAAAGAAAGAUCAAGCUUUAAACUCAAGGAGCACAAAGAGGACAAGGACUGCAGAGGGAAGAAGAAAUACAAACAUAGAGGCUCCUAAACAAUUGAGAAAGGAUCAUGCUAAAGAAGAUAAGAAAUUGAAGCGUACAAGAAGCGAAAGCAACAAAAUUAACAUUAGAAUCAAUGUUGGAGACAGCAACAGAACCACAACCUCAACAAGUGCUAAUAGAAAGACAUGGAAAUUCGGAAGGCCAACAUACAAAUGCUAAUAUUGCAAAUCAUUGGUAUGGUGUGAAGAACGAUUAAAUUCAACAAAGGAACUAAGACACCCUCUUUUGGAAUAUGCUGCAAACAGGGAAAAAUCAAUCUGCCACCAAUAAGAGACCCUCCACCAUACCUCAGAAACCUCUUAAGAAGUGAAGGGCUGGAUUAUAUGGUCAUACAACUCAAUGUUUUCAUUCACAUCGAUGGGAGGAGUUGUGGACAAGGAAAUAAACACUCGCAAAGAACUUUCUCUUUUUCGUUUGCGUGGACAGAACUACCACCACAUCGGAACUCUUUUACCUAAAGGUACAGACAAACCUUGGUUCACACAGCUGUACAUCUAUAAUAAUGUAAAUAAGGUGGCAAACAUGAUAAGUGCGUCAAGAUGCAAUGAUAAUAAAUCAACAGUGGACCCCAACAUCGUCAAAGAACUGCAAAUAAUGCUCGACGACAACAACAUCCUUGCAAAAACAAAGUAGGAAUAUAUUUGCCUAAGCAAGCAUUCUGCCAUGGACAACUGUAUGUGGCAUUAUCGAGAGUGACAAACAAGGAAGGAUUGAACACGCUGAUCAAUAACAAAGAGUGUCCAACUGAAGAUGCCACAAAGAAUAUUGUUUAUAAAGAUAUUCUAAUUUAAAAUAUAGUUCAUCAAGUCAACAAAACUAGAAUUUUGCAUAGACAAUGCAUGUGCAAUUACAUAGAGUCGAAGACAACCUAACCAUAUAUAUAAAUAUGUCUGAUCUUUCCACAAAAUAUUACUUUUUUGUUAAUUAGUUAUUUAUUACCCCUGAAUAUUUUUAUCUCUCUUCUAACAUCAUUUAAAAAAGUUGAAGCAUGGAUAUUUUUACAUAGCUACAUACCUCCGUUUCAAAAUAUAAGCCUUUUAAGAUAUUUCAAUACAGACUACAUACGGAUGUAUAUAGAUAUAUUUUAGAGUGUAGAUUCACUCAUUUUGCACCUUAUGUAUUCCGUACUGGAAUCUCUAAAAAAACUUAUAUUUAGGAACAGAGGGAGUUUUAGAGUGUAGAUUCACUCAUUUUGCUUCUUAUGUAGUCCUUAUUGGAAUCUCUAAAAAAACUUAUAUUUAGGAACGGAGGGAGUACUAUAUUUGAUCAUUCUAGAGAAAGUUCACAAAGAAAUUCCACCUAAAUAGCGAUUACUAAUAUCUCUGCACUAACACUCUCAUCACUCUCACGAAUAGUCUCUAAAAAAAAUAGACAUCAACAUAGCCUCCUCAACCAAAUAAAUGUAUGUGUAUUCACGUAUAUAAAUGUUAACAAAUACAGACAAGACAAUGAACUAUUGAAAGAUUGUGUUAUAGGUAGUAGACGAAACAAUGAAGUAUUGAACACCUUUUGCUAUGCGGAACUUCACAUAAUUAAUACGGAUGUGUUGAAGAGACAAGCUAAAUUGAAGAGACGAUCUAAGUUGGGCAGAAUGUCAACUGAAAAAAAAAAGUUAAUUACCCAAAAUAACGCAAGGUAAGCAAAAGGGCAGGGGGAUAUGAGCAACUCUGACAUAAAUUGAGGCAAAUCUUCGCUCACUUGAUCCUAAAAAAAUUCCAUGCGCAUAUUGGUCACCUCUCUGCAUUUGCCCUUCCCGGCUUCUGAGUAGUACCUCACCGGAGAACACUCUCUUCGU
rnacentral:lncRNA from 1 species